rnacentral:rRNA from 1 species
CAGUCGCCACGGGAAUACGUAGGGUGCAAGCGUUAAUCGGAUUUACUGGGCGUAAAGCGUGCGUAGGUGGCUGUUUAAGUCGGAUGUGAAAGCCCUGGGCUUAACCUGGGAACUGCAUUCGAUACUGGAUAGCUAGAGAUCGGUAGAGGGCAGCGGAAUUCCGGGUGUAGCGGUGAAAUGCGUAGAUAUCCGGAGGAACACCGACGGCGAAGGCAACUGCCUGGGCCUGAUCUGACACUGAGGCACGAAAGCGUGGGUAGCAAACAGGAUUAGAUACCCCAGUAGUCCCUGUCUCUUAUAC